CAUGUAUUCCCCAUUAGCUCAGUCGGUUAGAGCGCUGUACUUAUAAGCAAUAUGACAUGCAGAUGUCGCCGGUUCGAGUCCGGCAUGGGGAAGC